rnacentral:lncRNA from 1 species
AUUCGUUUGUCAUUUUGAGUAAGAACAACUCCCACUCCUUUUCCACUUGCAUCUACUUCCACCACGAAUGGAAUAGAAAAGUUAGGUAAGGCCAGCACUGGUGCCUUUAUCAUAGCCAGCUUUAGAUUUUCAAAAGCUAGAGUAGCCUCUUCAUUCCAAACAAAAUUUCCCUUUUUGAGCAAAUUAGUUAAUGGUUUACUGAUCAAAGCAAAGUCUUUUAUGAACCUGCGAUAAUAACCGGUAAGGCCUAAAAAUCCUCUUAAUUCUUUGAUGGUUUUUGGUUAAGGCCACUGUAGCAUAGCUUCCACUUUGUUCUCAUCGGUGCUAACCCCUCUAGCACUGAUAAUGUGACCAAGAUAUUCCACCUUUGAUUGAGCAAAACUACACUUGGAUUUCUUGGCUAGCAAUUUGUUAGACCUCAACAGAUCAAAAACAAUUUCCAAAUGAGUUACAUGUUCCUUUAGGUCAGCACUGUAAAUAUGAAUAUUAUCAAAAAAAGACUAGCACGAACUUCCUGAGAUAGGGUCCAAAAAUGUGAUGCAUCAGGGCUUGGAAUGUGGCUGGUGCAUUAGUGAGCCCAAAUGGCAUCACCUUAAAUUCCCAUAGCCCAUGAUGAGUUCGAAAAGUCGUUUUUGGCACAUCACUUUCUUUCAUCCUAAUUUGAUGGUAGCCGGACCUCAAGUCUAGCUUAAAAAAAUAUUGGGCACCAUAUAACUCGUCCAACAAGUCUUACACCACUGGUAUAGGAUAUAUUUUUUACUGUGAUCUCGUUUAACCUUCGAUAAUCCAUGCAUAACCUCCAACUAGAGUCUUUCUUUUUUACCAGUAGAACUGGAGAAGCAAAUGGGGAAACACUGGUGGUUACUGUUUGAGCCUUAAGCAUUUCUGCCACAAUCUCUUCUAUCGCAUUUUUUUGCUCAAAAGAGUAGCGAUAAGGUCUGAGAUUGAAUGGGUUGGAUCCAGGGAUUAGUUCAAUGGAGUGAUCACAUUCACGAGCUGAAGAAAGUUCAGUGGGCUCUUUGAACAAUUCUGGAUAGCGGUCCAAUAAAAUUUAUAUUUCUUCUGGAAUGGGCUUGUCAAUACCCUUGGCCUCUACCAUCAUUAAUUGCGCCACAUAAUUGCAUUGACCUUUAUGCAGUAGGUUCCACAUUUCCUUGGCUUCCAAUGUCUUUAAUUUGUCUGGAUUGGUAUCACUGAGCAGGUGAAUCACUUGGGAAUCUCUGAUGAAUGAAAUUCCUAAGGGUUUGGUAUUUAACAUAAUUAGAGCUACUGAAUCAAUCCAGUCCAUGCCCAACACUAAAUCACAACCAUCAAUCUCAAGCAAACGAAGAUCAAACAUAAAUUCGACCUCUUGCAUUUGCCACUUAAAAUUGUGACAAAUUUGAGUGCUUAGAAUGAACUGACCAUUAGCUCCUUCACUCUCAUUGGUUUAGGCAAAUUUUCCACCUUAGCUGAGAGUAAUUUAGCGACGCGUGGGUCCACGAAGCUAUGGUGGACCCACAUUCAAUUAGCACUAAAAACCUCUGUUUCUUGGCCCAACCAAUGAUUUUAAUGGUUGAUGGUGAUUUACUGUGGCCCAAUAAAACCAUCAAUGACAAUUCCCCUUGGUUUUGGGCUUCUGGUCCAACAUCUUGCACUGGCUCAAUGAGCUCCUCUUGAGUAUCACAAAAUUCCUCCCUUUCCAUUGCAUGGAGCAUUUUGGGCUUGCAUUGGUGACCUGGGGCAUA